rnacentral:tRNA from 1 species
AAUAAAGUGCCUGAUAAAAGGAUUAUUUUGAUAGAAUAAAUUAUGUAAAUUAAAUUUACCUUUAUUA